CAGUGCCGCGGUAAUACGUAGGUGGCAAGCGUUGUCCGGAAUUAUUGGGCGUAAAGGGCUCGCAGGCGGUUUCUUAAGUCUGAUGUGAAAGCCCCCGGCUCAACCGGGGAGGGUCAUUGGAAACUGGGAAACUUGAGUGCAGAAGAGGAGAGUGGAAUUCCACGUGUAGCGGUGAAAUGCGUAGAGAUGUGGAGGAACACCAGUGGCGAAGACGACUCUCUGGUCUGUAACUGACGCUGAGGAGCGAAAGCGUGGGGAGCGAACAGGAUUAGAUACCCCAGUAGUCCCUGUCUCUUAUACA
rnacentral:rRNA from 1 species